AAUAUUGCACAAUGGGCGCAAGCCUGAUGCAGCCAUGCCGCGUGUAUGAAGAAGGCCUUCGGGUUGUAAAGUACUUUCAGCAGUGAGGAAGGUGGGUAUGUUAAUAGCAUAUUCAUUUGACGUUAGCUGCAGAAGAAGCACCGGCUAACUCCGUGCCAGCAGCCGCGGUAAUACGGAGGGUGCGAGCGUUAAUCGGAAUUACUGGGCGUAAAGCGCAUGCAGGUGGUUUGUUAAGUCAGAUGUGAAAGCCCCGGGGCUCAACCUCGGAAUUGCAUUUGAAACUGGCAAACUAGAGUACUGUAGAGGGGGUAGAAUUUCAGGUGUAGCGGUGAAAUGCGUAGAGAUCUGAAGGAAUACCGGUGGCGAAGGCGGCCCCCUGGACAGAUACUGACACUCAGAUGCGAAAGCGUGGGGAGCAAACAGGAUUAGAUACCCUGGUAG
rnacentral:rRNA from 1 species